rnacentral:rRNA from 1 species
AGAGUUUGAUCCUGGCUCAGGACGAACGCUGGCGGCGUGCUUAACACAUGCAAGUCGAACGGAAAGGCCUGCAGCUUGCUGCGGGUACUCGAGUGGCGAACGGGUGAGUAACACGUGGGUGAUCUGCCUUGCACUUCGGGAUAAGCUUGGGAAACUGGGUCUAAUACCGGAUAGGACAGCUGUUUAGUGUCAGUUGUGGAAAGUUUUUUCGGUGCAAGAUGAGCUCGCGGCCUAUCAGCUUGUUGGUGGGGUAAUGGCCUACCAAGGCGUCGACGGGUAGCCGGCCUGAGAGGGUGGACGGCCACAUUGGGACUGAGAUACGGCCCAGACUCCUACGGGAGGCGGCAGUGGGGAAUAUUGCACAAUGGGCGGAAGCCUGAUGCAGCGACGCCGCGUGGGGGAUGAAGGCCUUCGGGUUGUAAACUCCUUUCGACAGGGACGAAGCUUUUGUGACGGUACCUGUAUAAGAAGCACCGGCUAACUACGUG